GAGUUUGAUCAUGGCUCAGAUUGAACGCUGGCGGCAGGCCUAACACAUGCAAGUCGAGCGGUAGAGAGAAGCUUGCUUCUCUUGAGAGCGGCGGACGGGUGAGUAAUGCCUAGGAAUCUGCCUGGUAGUGGGGGAUAACGCUCGGAAACGGACGCUAAUACCGCAUACGUCCUACGGGAGAAAGCAGGGGACCUUCGGGCCUUGCGCUAUCAGACGAGCCUAGGUCGGAUUAGCUAGUUGGUGAGGUAAUGGCUCACCAAGGCGACGAUCCGUAACUGGUCUGAGAGGAUGAUCAGUCACACUGGAACUGAGACACGGUCCAGACUCCUACGGGAGGCAGCAGUGGGGAAUAUUGGACAAUGGGCGAAAGCCUGAUCCAGCCAUGCCGCGUGUGUGAAGAAGGUCUUCGGAUUGUAAAGCACUUUAAGUUGGGAGGAAGGGCAGUAAAUUAAUACUUUGCUGUUUUGACGUUACCGUACAGAAUAAGCACCGG
rnacentral:rRNA from 1 species